GACGAACGCUGGCGGCGUGCCUAACACAUGCAAGUCGAGCGGGGUUGAAGCGAGGGGUAACUCGAGUUUCUACCUAGCGGCGGACGGGUGAGUAACGCGUGGGCAACCUGCCUCAAGGACUGGGAUAACAGCUCGAAAGGGCUGCUAAUACCGGAUAAGCCUAUGGCCUCGCAUGGGGCCAUGAGCAAAGGGGAAACCCGCCUUGAGAUGGGCCCGCGUCCCAUCAGCUAGUUGGUGAGGUGAAGGCUCACCAAGGCGACGACGGGUAGCCGGCCUGAGAGGGUGACCGGCCACACUGGGACUGAGACACGGCCCAGACUCCUACGGGGGCAGCAGUGGGGAAUCUUGCACAAUGGGCGAAAGCCUGAUGCAGCGACGCCGCGUGAGCGAAGAAGGCCUUCGGUUGUAAAGCUCUGUCUGAGGGACGAAGGAAGUGACGGUACCUCCGGACGGAAGCCACGGCUAACUACGUGCCAGCAGCCGCGGUAAACCUGUAGUCGU
rnacentral:rRNA from 1 species